rnacentral:rRNA from 1 species
AUGACCGUUGACAUAAAAGAAACAAAGGAAGCAUGCGGUCAACCAUCUAGAAAAGCCCAUGUGAUGGGAUGGCAUUUUAUUACAAUUUACAAAGGUCCAAGCUACACCCCAAUCAUGUCCUCUGCUAUGCCCAACAGAAAGCUCAUUAGCCCUUUGACAUUGAUCUACCUCUUGACUAUGGUCGUUACUACCUCGACGUGCAAUCUUCAUUUCUCACUCAUCCUUCUUCCUUUUCAUCCAUUUUCUCCCCCCUUUUUCUUCCUCUGCCCUGGUUCCUUCUCCCUUUCGUUCGUCUCCUUGCAUCGGAUACUGUCAAAUGGCUCACUUCACAAGACUAUGUACCAACUAGUGGCGAUUUAG